CUCGUGGCCGCUGACAUCGCAGAAGGCAUAGAGGAAGAAAAACAUCACGACGCAGAACAAAGAGAAAGAUAAACACAGAGAAAAGGAAGAGCACAGGACCACAGGAUAAAGACACACAGAAGACCCCAAGAAAAGAUAUACAGACAUUUAGUCGUAAUCACCAUCAUUUUAACCAACAAGUUUUUCGUUUCACCUGUUACCCUGCGUGUUACACUUGAACUAGACGACCUUACACCCUCACACGCACUUCGUCCCUCAAGCGCGUAUGAUGAAGACCAUCCAUAGUGGCCUCCUGUUGGCGGUGGCGGUGGCGGUGGCGGCGGCGGCGGCUGCGGAGGCGAGCUUUAUCCCCAGACAGACGGGCGCUGCUUGUCCUAAGACGGUGAACGUCCUGUGUCCUCCGCUAGGGCGGUGGGCGUUGCUGUUGCCUCAUCCCGAAAACUGCUCCAAGUACUGUGAGUGUGUGGGCGAAGGACUGGCUCUUGAAAUGCCCUGCCCCGGGACCCUGCUAUGGGACGAGCGGCUGGUGACAUGCAACUGGGAGUACAAUGUGGACUGCGGCUCCCGCCCAAACCCGUAGAGGUGGCAGGUAGCGACACGGACUCUUGGAAGUGGACUGGGGUGGUGCUGGUGAGGGUCCGGUUUGUGCUGAAGAGAUGACUGACAUCUUGUGUUGCUUGUUCAUUACAAGUACUUUUCAUUUUACGCAAGUUUUAAUGUUUUGGAAAAAAACAACUUUUAACCCCUUUUUUUUUUGUUCUACACGUUUCGCUUACAUUAAUCGAAGGCAAAACAAUGGCUUAUCAUGUGUUUUGAUGUAUAAAAAGCAAGACAACGCAGAUAUAAUCUUAGGGAACAUAUUUUCUAGAAAUGCAUAUAUUGCUUCAAAAGAGAGCUACCUGAAUAUGUUUUGUACCUGGCUAGUCAUACCGUGGUGUUCCUGGCGAUACUAUGGUUCUUGAAGAAGUGUUUUCAUGUCAAACAUGUUGCUUCUUCAGUAAAAGUUUAUUUUGCAACUGGUUGUUUAUUCUUUCUUUCAUCCUAAGUAUUAUGUUCUUGCUGGUCUGCCAUUUUUUUCCGAAGGUGUGCCAAUUUCGAGUAAAUAAAAAAAUAAAAAAAAACGUCACGGUGAGAGUCAGCGUGUUGGGAGCACUCCAAAACUUUUGUAUUUUUUCCUGCAGCAUUAAAUAGGCUGUCUUAGUACACACGUACAUCAAGUGCUUUAUUUUAUUCUGGUAGUCGCUUAACAGGGCGAAGAAUUAUUGAAUCACUAUUAGGGCUCGUUCACACUACAAGCAGAGCAGAGCAGAGCUCACACUUCACUUUGCGGUGUUCACACCGCAAGCGGAGCGGCGCAGCGCGGAGCGGAGCGGCACAUUCGGGAAAUUUGGUCGUAUUUUUUGCUGCUCGCAGCUAGCAGUCCUCCACGGCUCCACCCUUCAAUCAACAUGGCCAAGAAGCUAUCUACAUAGGUGAAUUUUUAUUCCUGAAGCCAAAAUUACAAAAAACUGACCAGAUUGUGCAUAGUUGAGGUACAAUUUAAUGAUAUAUAAUAGCCGUCUGUUUAGAAGAGCUAAUUUGGUGAUAUUCUGAUCCUAUACAUAAUCAUCAGUGACCCACACAGCCAUGGGACUUGGCUUUAACAACGAAAUUCCAUUUUCCUUUGUAAAUCGUUACAUUUUCAUCAUCCGUCAAGAUAAACACCGAGGAGUUUAUCGAGCUGUUGCCUGCGAAUGAUUCUUGUGCAGGUCGCCCUGCUCUGCUUAUAUGUGAACACCUAACCGUGCCGCUCUGCUCUGCUCUGCUCUGCUCUGCCCUUCUCUGCUUGUAGUGUGAACGAGCCCUUACAGUCAGCUUCGUUAUAAGCCAACGUCCUCUUUGUUGCUUCUCUAACAUGUUGGUAAGAGAGCCUUGUAGGACAGGUAAUAUUGGAUUAAAGUUAGAUAGAGUAAAAUUCAUCACAAAUAUAGGCAAAAAUUGCUUAACUGAUCGUGUUGGAUGAGUGGAACAUUGAAUGGCAAUGGUUUGAAUGUAACCUGUGUGUAUCAGUAAAAUUGCAUCAAAGCACGAAACUAUUUCCCAACCUCUCGAAGCAAAACAAAGCAAAACAAAACGAAGAAGCAAGGAAAUUGAGGCGGUGAAUUUUCAUGUAGACGGAAGGGCAGCGUGAGCCUGUUGUGCUAUGAGCGGGUUGGCGCAAAAGUAUAACAAGACGCACCAUAUUUUUAUGUUAUAGAGUUGAAUGCCCUUAAGUCCACGGUGGGCUGUGUGACGGUCUGUAAAGUUAUCUUGAAUGACUCCCUGAAAUGAUGGAGGGAUGGGAGGGGAAUGAAAACAGACAGCUGAGUGGUGAACUUUUAGGGAGGGGUGAGAAGAUUAGGCGGGACGCGGGCACGGCGGAGGGUAUAUAACGUGUGCCGUGGCUGAGGCGCAGGAGAGCAGAAACCAGUAUGAAGAGUCUACUUGCUGGCGUUGUGGUGGCGGCGGUGGCGAGCCUUGUCGCUGCCCAGGUCAACGACUGUACCUGUCCUGACGAAGUUGACGUGAACUGCCCUGAAGUUGGUGACUUUGCAGUGAUCUUUCCUCACCCUGACGACUGCUCAAUGUUUUGCGAGUGUGAGAAGGAGGGAUGCGGCUCCGAGCUCGUGUGUCCCCCCGGCCUCUUGUUUGACGCAACGUUGAGUGUGUGCAAUUGGCCGGGCGACGUGGAUUGCGGUUCGCGCCCCAUCCCGUAAAGAGACAGAAGGGAAGGUGAACUAACAGUUGCCGUGGCGGAUGGGCUACCACGAGUUAGGUCCCCGUCAUCCCAGUACACUGUCAUGAUUUAUGUUACCUGGUCUGUGCUUGUACCUGUAAUCGACAUCGCCAGCUCCUAAAAAAUAUCUUACUUGUUUAUGUUAAGAUUUGUAUAGGCUUGUCUUUUUUUCUGGAACGUGUUAGAAUAUGUAUAAGGAACACUAAUUCGUUGUUGACGUACAUGAACCUUUUGUGUAGUUGGAUUCUGCAACAAAGUAUUGAAAAAUGUA